GACGUAGGGCGCGAGCGUUGUCCGGAUUUAUUGGGCGUAAAGAGCUCGUAGGCGGCUCGUUGCGUCGGCUGUGAAAACCCGCAGCUCAACUGUGGGCUUGCAGCCGAUACGGGCGGGCUGGGAUUCGGUAGGGGAGAACGGAAUUCCUGGUGUAGCGGUGAAAUGCGCAGAUAUCAGGAGGAACACCGGUGGCGAAGGCGGUUCUCUGGGCCUUACCUGACGCUGAGGAGCGAAAGCGUGGGGAGCGAACAGG
rnacentral:rRNA from 1 species